rnacentral:rRNA from 1 species
CCUACGGGAGGCAGCAGUGAGGAAUAUUGGUCAAUGGUCGGGAGACUGAACCAGCCAAGUCGCGUGAGGGAGGACGGCACUAAGGAUUGUAAACCUCUUUUGUCAGGGAACAAAGCCUGGGACGCGUGCCCGUAUGAUGGUACCUGUAAAAAAAGCCUCGGCAAACUCCGUGCCAGCUGCCGCGGUAAUACGGGGGAUGCGAGCUUUAUCCGGUUUUUUGGGGUGUAAAGGGUGCGCAGGGGGGGUGUUAAGUCGGUGGGAAAAAAUCAGGGCUCAGCCCAGGCCCGCCGUUGAAACUGGCAGUCUUGAGUUGGAGAGAGGUAUGCGGAAUGCGUGGUGUAGCGGUGAAAUGCAUAGAUAUCGCGAAGAACUCCGAUUGCGAAGGCAGCAUACCGGCUCGUCACUGACGCUGAUGCACGAAAGCGUGGGUAUCGAACAGGAUUAGAUACCCUAGUAGUC